rnacentral:rRNA from 1 species
AAAGGAAUUGACGGGGGCCCGCACAAGCGGUGGAGUAUGUGGUUUAAUUCGAAGCAACGCGCAGAACCUUACCUGGGUUUGACAUGCACGAGACAGGCGGUGAGAGUCGCCCUUCUCUUCGGAGAUUCGUGCACAGGUGCUGCAUGGCUGUCGUCAGCUCGUGCCGUGAGGUGUUGGGUUAAGUCCCGCAACGAGCGCAACCCUCGUCUAUAGUUGCCAUCAGGUUAUGCUGGGCACUCUAUAGAGACUGCCGGUGACAAGCCGGAGGAAGGUGGGGAUGACGUCAAGUCCUCAUGGCCCUUACAUCCAGGGCUACACACGUACUACAAUGGCCGGUACAGAAGGUUGCAAGACCGCAAGGUGGAGCCAAUCCCAAAAACCGGCCUCAGUUCAGAUUGGAGUCUGCAACUCGACUCCAUGAAGGCGGAAUCGCUAGUAAUCGCUGAUCAGCAGGCAGCGGUGAAUACGUUCCCGGGCCUUGUACACACCGCCCGU